UCACAUCUGACUGCGGAACAUGGGUUUCUGAUGCAGCAAUGAUAUGCACUGGGAAGGCACAGUGUUGCGAACUGAGGAGUGGAGGAUCCCGUCUGCACUGUCUCUAAUAGUCUGAGGAAUGCUGUCCUCAGAGAACACACUAAAUCCCUGACCAACUGGAUCGUCCCUGGUUCUAGGAGCUGGACAGUUGCUGGAGGACGUGACUUCUGACCUAUGCCUUUGAGAGGGGAUAGAAUUUUUGCUGGCACAGAAGAGCCUGAAGAUAACUGGAGAAAGGUCAGGAGGCAGCCAUGAAUCUUUUCAUCCAAAC